rnacentral:rRNA from 1 species
UACGGAGGGGGCUAGCGUUGUUCGGAAUUACUGGGCGUAAAGCGCGCGUAGGCGGACCUGCAAGUCGGGGGUGAAAGCCCGAGGCUCAACCUCGGAACUGCCUUCGAUACUGCGGGUCUCGAGUCCGGGAGAGGUGAGUGGAAUUCCUAGUGUAGAGGUGAAAUUCGUAGAUAUUAGGAAGAACACCAGUGGCGAAGGCGGCUCACUGGCCCGGUACUGACGCUGAGGUGCGAAAGCUUGGGGAGCAGACAGG